GUCGAGUUUGCUUCCACCUCCGAUUUUAUUGAUUUGAUGGUGAUGCUCCUGCAUCAGGGAGCCUGAGAAAUGGAUACCACAUCCAAGGAAGGAAGCAUGCAUCCAAAUUACCCAAUCCUGGCAUGGAGAGGUAGUGACAAUAAAUAAAAAUAUUGGGAUCAUCGAUAUUGGUAAUUGGAAUGAGUACAAUCUAAAUCCAUUACCGAGGAUUUAUUGGAGGGAAAUUAUGUUGCUAAAAGUCGUGGUAAUUGCAGAUCCAAUAGCGUAUAUUUAAGUUGUUGUAGUUAAAAAUAUUGUAGUUGGAUCUUGGGUUGUAAAUGUCAGUUUUCCUACUCGGUGUGCACUUUCCCUUCCAUCUCUUUUGUCGGUAGCGUGCUCCUAGAAUUAAUUAGUUGGGUCCUGGUUGCAAUGUUGUUACUUUGAAAAAUUUAGACUACUCAAAGAAAGAUUAUGCUUUGAUAAC
rfam:Picea glauca, whole genome shotgun sequence.